rnacentral:rRNA from 1 species
UACGAAGGGGGCUAGCGUUGCUCGGAAUCACUGGGCGUAAAGGGUGCGUAGGCGGGUCUUUAAGUCAGGGGUGAAAUCCUGGGAGCUCAACUCCAGAACUGCCUUUGAUACUGAGGAUCUUGAGUAUGGGAGAGGUGAGUGGAACUGCGAGUGUAGAGGUGAAAUUCGUAGAUAUUCGCAAGAACACCAGUGGCGAAGGCGGCUCACUGGCCCAUUACUGACGCUGAGGCACGAAAGCGUGGGGAGCAAACAGG